UACGGGGGGGUAAGCGUUGUUCGGAAUUACUGGGCGUAAAGGGCUCGUAGGCGGCCAACUAAGUCCGACGUGAAAUCCCCAGGCUCAACCUGGGAACUGCGUCGGAUACUGGAUGGCUUGAAUUCGGGAGAGGGAUGCAGAAUUCCAGGUGUAGCGGUGAAAUGCGUAGAUAUCUGGAGGAAUACCGGUGGCGAAGGCGGCAUCCUGGACCGACAUUGACGCUGAGGAGCGAAAGCUAGGGGAGCAAACGGG
rnacentral:rRNA from 1 species